UACGAAGGGGGCUAGCGUUGUUCGGAAUUACUGGGCGUAAAGCGCACGUAGGCGGGUAUUUAAGUCAGGGGUGAAAUCCUAGAGCUCAACUCUGGAACUGCCUUUGAUACUGGGUACCUAGAGUAUGGAAGAGGUGAGUGGAAUUCCGAGUGUAGAGGUGAAAUUCGUAGAUAUUCGGAGGAACACCAGUGGCGAAGGCGGCUCACUGGUCCAUUACUGACGCUGAGGUGCGAAAGCGUGGGGAGCAAACAGG
rnacentral:rRNA from 1 species